UACGGAGGGUGCAAGCGUUAUCCGGAUUCACUGGGUUUAAAGGGUGCGUAGGCGGACAGGUAAGUCAGUGGUGAAAUCUCUGGGCUUAACCCAGAAACUGCCGUUGAUACUAUCUGUCUUGAAUAUCGUGGAGGUGAGCGGAAUAUGUCAUGUAGCGGUGAAAUGCUUAGAUAUGACAUAGAACACCGAUUGCGAAGGCAGCUCGCUACACGGUUAUUGACGCUGAGGCACGAAAGCGUGGGGAUCAAACAGG
rnacentral:rRNA from 1 species